UAGGGAAUAUUAGAAAUGGACGAAAGUCUGAUCUAGCAACACCGCGUGUGCGAAGAAGGCCUUCGGGUCGUAAAGCACUUUUUGGAAGGAAUAGGAAGGACUGUACUUCCAGAAUAAGUCUCGGCUAACUACGUGCCAGCAGCCGCGGUAACACGUAGGAGGCAAACGUUAUCCGGAUUUACUGGGCGUAAAGCGCGUGUAGGUGGUACUGUAAGUAGGGCGUGAAAGCUCCUGGCUCAACUGGGAGAGGCCGUUCUAAACUACAGAACUAGAGGAUGGUAGAGGGAGGUGGAAUUCCAGGUGUAGCGGUGGAAUGCGCAGAUAUCUGGAGGAACACCGGUGGCGAAGGCGGCCUCCUGGACCAUGCCUGACACCCAGACGCGAAAGCUAGGGUAGCAAACACGGUUGCAUCCCCUAGUAAUC
rnacentral:rRNA from 1 species